CCAAACAGCGCAACCCCUGAUCAGUCCCGCCCGUUCUUUUCUUUUCUGCGCUCUUUGAUCGUCAAUAGGUGGUAUAAAAGGAGAAAAACCAUUCUAUCAAGGUUUCUAUGUAGUUUGCAGUCUUUGGCUAAUGUCAACUGGUCCUGGUCUUGAGUCACUUGUUGAUCAAACUAUAUCGGUUAUCACAAAUGAUGGAAGAAACAUCGUGGGAAUUUUAAAAGGCUUUGAUCAAGCCACCAAUAUCAUUUUGGAUGAGUCACAUGAGCGGGUUUAUUCGACUAAGGAAGGUGUACAGCAACUUGUUCUUGGGUUGUAUAUCAUAAGGGGUGACAACAUUUGUGUUGUGGGAGAGUUGGAUGAGGAGCUGGACUCGAACCUGGAUUUGUCCAGACUGAGGGCACAUCCUCUCAAGCCUGUUAUUCACUGAUCAUCAAAUUAUCCACGCUUCUUGGCAUGGAAUUUAGUAAACGCCAGCUAUUAUCGCCGCUAUAUGCGACACCUCCCCGCGGGAAAAAUCUUUAUUAAAGGCAGGCAUUAAGCAGACCAAAAGCCCACUAAGCCAAAGGAAAUGGACCAUCCUAUUUUGAGUACUGUUUCCUUCUCCAAGUUGUUCAUGGUUGCUUUUGUGUUCUCUGCUUUCUUCCUCUCUCCAGCUCAUUCAAGGGAGGUGCCAAUUAUUCCAUCGGCAGACAAAGGCCAAUAUAGUGAUGCCCGAGCUGACGUUAGCUUAACAAGGGAGCCUUUUGUGACGCCACCCUCGCCCACGUCCAAUGUGACACCCCCUGGUGGCAUGCUUUGAAGCCAUGGAUGAUGUUGAGGAAUUUUAUGCUACUUAUUUAAGUUGGGAAAAAACAUUUUCAAAGUUUACUACUUGUAGUUUGGAAUCCUCAAGAGAUGAACAAACAUCUGUAUCAAAUAGUAUAAAAAUUGACUAUUUUUCUUCACAGUAUGCCGGUAAUUUUUAAGCUUGUUUUUCAAUA